rnacentral:rRNA from 1 species
UAGAGGAAGUAAAAGUCGUAACAAGGUUUCCGUAGGUGAACCUGCGGAAGGAUCAUUACCAAGAACCACACAGAAAAGGGAGGCAAAGGGGCCGACAGGAUUAGUAGCUUAUACGUUGUUGAACGUCCUGGCUGGACCCGGAGCCGCCCCCAUCUAAACCCUCUGCGUACCUGUCCCUUCUUGCUUCCCCCGACAUCUCGUCGGGGGGAGGGAACAACCAAAACUCUUUGUGAAUCAAACAGCCGUCAGAAUUAUAAAACAAACAAAAAGUUAAAACUUUCAACAACGGAUCUCUUGGUUCCCACAUCGAUGAAGAACGCAGCGAAAUGCGAUAAGUAAUGUGAAUUGCAGAAUUCAGUGAAUCAUCGAAUCUUUGAACGCACAUUGCGCCCCCUGGUAUUCCGGGGGGCAUGCCUGUUCGAGCGUCAUAAAAACCUCCUCCCCCUUCGGGUUUUGUUACUAUCGUUGGGGGGUUUUGGCCUAAUGGGAUAGCGAUUGGCAAUUCGUUUCCCAAUGUCCUAAAUACACGUAGACCCGCCUCCAGAUGCGACAGCACCGAGGCCAUCAACCGUGGAGUUAUGGGAUAUAUAGGCUUGCAGUAAAAUGCUCACCUCUCUUCACACGCCGAUGGCACGACAGUUGCAGUUGCGGGCGUAAAUUGGAGCCCUUUUCAGGACCCUCGUGGCCUAGCAUCCACAAUACAUAAUUUGACCUCGGAUCAGGUAGGGAUACCCGCUGAACUUAA